rnacentral:rRNA from 1 species
UACGUAGGGUGCAAGCGUUAAUCGGAAUUACUGGGCGUAAAGCGUGCGCAGGCGGUUGUGCAAGACCGAUGUGAAAUCCCCGGGCUCAACCUGGGAAUGGCAUUUGGGACUGCAAGGCUUGAGUGCGGCAGGAGGAGACUGGAAUUCCUGGUGUAGCAGUGAAAUGCGUAGAUAUCAGGAGGAAUACCGAUGGCGAAGGCAGGUCUCUGGGCUGACACUGACGCUCAUGCACGAAAGCGUGGGGGGCAAACAGGA